AAAUCUCGUGCCAGCCACCGCGGUUAGACGAGAGGCCCCAGUUGAUGAUACAACGGCGUAAAGGGUGGUUAAGGAUAGACAAAAAUUAAAGCCAAAUGGCCCCUUGACCGUCAUACGUUUCUAGGCGUCCGAAGCUCUAACACGAAAGUAGCUUUAAACAAGCCCACCUGACCCCACGAAAGCUGAGAAACAAACUGGGAUUAGAUACCCCACUAUGCUCAGCCGUAAACUUAGACAUUAAGCUACAAUUAAAUGUCCGCCAGGGUACUACAAGUAUUGGCUUAAAACCCAAAGGACCUGACGGUGUCUCAAACCCCCCUAGAGGAGCCUGUUCUAGAACCGAUAAUCCCCGUUAAACCUCACCACCCCUGGCUUAUCCCAGCCUAUAUACCGCCGUCGUCAGCUUACCCUGUGAAGGAAAUAAAAGUAAGCAAAAUGGGUAUAACCCAGAACGUCAGGUCAAGGUGUAGCGCAUGAGGUGGAAAGAAAUGGGCUACAUUUUCUACCACAGAAUAUUACGAACAUGCACCAUGAAAUAAUGCUUGAAGGAGGAUUUAGUAGUAAAAAGGAAAUAGAGAGUCCUUUUGAACCCGGCCCUGAGACGCGUACACACCGCCCGUC
rnacentral:rRNA from 1 species